rnacentral:rRNA from 1 species
UGGGGAAUAUUGCACAAUGGGCGCAAGCCUGAUGCAGCCAUGCCGCGUGUAUGAAGAAGGCCUUCGGGUUGUAAAGUACUUUCAGCGGGGAGGAAGGGAGUAAAGUUAAUACCUUUGCUCAUUGACGUUACCCGCAGAAGAAGCACCGGCUAACUCCGUGCCAGCAGCCGCGGUAAUACGGAGGGUGCAAGCGUUAAUCGGAAUUACUGGGCGUAAAGCGCACGCAGGCGGUUUGUUAAGUCAGAUGUGAAAUCCCCGGGCUCAACCUGGGAACUGCAUCUGAUACUGGCAAGCUUGAGUCUCGUAGAGGGGGGUAGAAAUCCAGGUGUAGCGGUGAAAUGCGUAGAGAUCUGGAGGAAAACCGGUGGCGAAGGCGGCCCCCUGGACGAAGACUGACGCUCAGGUGCGAAAGCGUGGGGAGCAAACAGG